rnacentral:pre_miRNA from 1 species
CAAAUACUCCCUCUGUCCGGAAAUACUUGUCAUCAAAAUGGAUAAAAGGAAAUGUAUCUAGACGUAUUUUAGUUUUAGAUAUAUCUCUUUUUAUCCAUUUUGAUGACAAGUAUUUUCGGACGGAGGGAGUAGAAA